rnacentral:rRNA from 1 species
UACAGAGGGGGCAAGCGUUAUUCGGAAUUAUUGGACGUAAAGGGCGCGUAGGCGGCUUUGCAAGUGACGGGUGAAAUCCCUCGGCUUAACCGAGGAACUGCCUGUCAGACUGCAUGGCUUGAGACCAGGAGAGGUGAGUGGAAUUCCCAGUGUAGCGGUGAAAUGCGUAGAUAUUGGGAGGAACACCAGUGGCGAAGGCGGCUCACUGGACAGGUACUGACGCUGAGGCGCGAAAGCGUGGGGAGCAAACAGG